GAAAUGAUUUGCCUAAGGUCACAUCUAACAAGUGAAGGAACAGGUUUUCAGACACAGGCUGUUGUACUCCCAAGUUUAGUGAUCUUUCCGCUACAUAUUUUGCCUAAAUUCCUUUGUAAAAGUUCAUGCUUACCUUUACCAACAGGACCAAAGAAGAAUCUGGGCUUCAACCAAGGGGGAAAAAAUGCAAGGACUGGCAACAGGAUUGCAGCCAAUACCAUAAAAGUUCUUCAGGAAUCUGAGAUAAUUAGAAAUCGAAAACAAUAAGAUAAACAAGAAACUAAAGACUUGGACAGAUUGUUGGAAAAACUGGACAUCAGUGAAGAAGCCUAAGGCAAGUAGGGUCAUCAGAGGUUAUGAAUGGUAUUGGGUUUUGGGCAGGAUUUAAUUGGUUGAAAACAGAGAGGAGGCUUUUGGAUAGAGUGAUGACUUUGGAAGUGGACCUAACUUGGAUUAGUUGUAGCAG
rnacentral:lncRNA from 1 species